GUACUGCUGAGGAGUCCCAAAAACUGGGACGAAACAGCUGUUUGGUAC
rnacentral:hammerhead_ribozyme from 1 species